AAUAAGAUCAUUUUUUAUAUCUUGAUACAAUGUUUGACUCAGUGUCUUAUUUGAAAUUUUUUUGCGAUUAAUAUUUUUAUUCUUACUGGAUGAUAAAACAUAAAUAGUAUUUUAUGUGUGACUAAUUUUUUUUAGUUUUUGUAUAUUUUUUUAAAUAAGACGAAUGGUCAAAGCGUUGGACACAUAAAUUAAAAAAUGAAGUUAUU
rnacentral:pre_miRNA from 1 species